rnacentral:rRNA from 1 species
AUUGAACGCUGGCGGUAUGCCUUACACAUGCAAGUCGAACGGUAGAGGGGCAACCCUUGAGAGUGGCGAACGGGUGAGUAAUACAUUGGAACGUGCCCAGUCGUGGGGGAUAACGUAGCGAAAGCUACGCUAAUACCGCAUACGACCUGAGGGUGAAAGCGGGGGAUCGCAAGACCUCGCGCGAUUGGAGCGGCCGAUGGCAGAUUAGGUAGUUGGUGGGGUAAAGGCCUACCAAGCCUGCGAUCUGUAGCUGGUCUGAGAGGACGGCCAGCCACACUGGGACUGAGACACGGCCCAGACCCCUACGGGAGGCAGCAGUGGGGAAUUUUGGACAAUGGGCGAAAGCCUGAUCCAGCCAUACCGCGUGCGGGAAGAAGGCCUUCGGGUUGUAAACCGCUUUUGUCAGGGAAGAAAUCUUCUGGGUUAAUACCUCGGGAGGAUGACGGUACCUGAAGAAUAAGCACCGGCUAACUACGUGCCAGCCGCCGCAGUAACAC